rnacentral:rRNA from 1 species
UGGGGAAUAUUGGACAAUGGGCGCAAGCCUGAUCCAGCAAUGCCGCGUGUGUGAAGAAGGCCUUCGGGUUGUAAAGCACUUUUAUCAGGAGCGAAACGCUGUCGGCUAAUACCCGGCGGAACUGACGGUACCUGAGGAAUAAGCACCGGCUAACUUCGUGCCAGCAGCCGCGGUAAUACGAAGGGUGCAAGCGUUAAUCGGAAUUACUGGGCGUAAAGCGUGCGUAGGCGGUUUCUUAAGUCUGCUGUGAAAUCCCCGGGCUCAACCUGGGAAUGGCAGUGGAUACUGGGAGGCUAGAGUGUGUCAGAGGGUGGUGGAAUUCCCGGUGUAGCGGUGAAAUGCGUAGAGAUCGGGAGGAACAUCAGUGGCGAAGGCGGCCACCUGGGACAACACUGACGCUGAGGCACGAAAGCGUGGGGAGCAAACAGGAUUAGAUACCCUGGUAGUCCACGCCCUAAACGAUGCGAACUGGAUGUUGGUCUCAACUCGGAGAUCAGUGUCGAAGCUAACGCGUUAAGUUCGCCGCCUGGGGAGUACGGUCGCAAGACUGAAACUUAAAGGAA